UACGGCGGGUGCAAGCGUUAUCCGGAUUCACUGGGUUUAAAGGGUGCGUAGGAGGGCAGGUAAGUCAGUGGUGAAAUCCCCGAGCUUAACUUGGGAACUGCCGUUGAUACUAUCUGUCUUGAAUAUCGUGGAGGUGAGCGGAAUAUGUCAUGUAGCGGUGAAAUGCUUAGAUAUGACAUAGAACACCAAUUGCGAAGGCAGCUCGCUACACGAAUAUUGACUCUGAGGCACGAAAGCGUGGGGAUCAAACAGG
rnacentral:rRNA from 1 species